UGGGGAAUUUUGGACAAUGGGCGAAAGCCUGAUCCAGCAAUGCCGCGUGUGUGAAGAAGGCCUUCGGGUUGUAAAGCACUUUUGUCCGGAAAGAAAUCCUUGGCUCUAAUACAGUCGGGGGAUGACGGUACCGGAAGAAUAAGCACCGGCUAACUACGUGCCAGCAGCCGCGGUAAUACGUAGGGUGCAAGCGUUAAUCGGAAUUACUGGGCGUAAAGCGUGCGCAGGCGGUUUGCUAAGACCGAUGUGAAAUCCCCGGGCUCAACCUGGGAACUGCAUUGGUGACUGGCAGGCUAGAGUAUGGCAGAGGGGGGUAGAAUUCCACGUGUAGCAGUGAAAUGCGUAGAGAUGUGGAGGAAUACCGAUGGCGAAGGCAGCCCCCUGGGCCAAUACUGACGCUCAUGCACGAAAGCGUGGGGAGCAAACAGGAUUAGAUACCCUGGUAGUCCACGCCCUAAACGAUGUCAACUAGUUGUGGGGAUUCAUUCUUAGUAACGUAGCUAACGCGUGAAGUUGACCGCCUGGGGAGUACGGUCGCAAGAUUAAAACUCAAAUGAAUUGACGGGGUCAUAGCUG
rnacentral:rRNA from 1 species